UCCCUUCCAGAAAACAAGAAUCGAUGCCAAGCAUGUAGGCCCAGGCUGGGAAACCUAGCUGCCAGUCCCCUUCUUUCCACUUACUCCUCCAGGCCCCAAUCUGACCAGUGCUGGGGACACAUGCCCUGAAUCCAUUUCACAAGAGCCAAAAUAGGUGAAAAGUUGCCUUGGAAGGAGUAGGUGAGCAAGGAUACAGAGCUUUGGUCAAUAUUUGCAAGGCUGUUGGCAGAUUAGAUAUAUCUGUAUUCAAACACUGCAAUCUGAUUUCUCUGUCAAAAAUACACUUCACAUUUUUUCCCCUUUAGUUAACUGUAGUGGUUUUGUUACUUAGCAUCAGGUAAGGCCUGCUUAGCACCCCCACUUUUUGGUGGAGGUUAGAGAUCAUUAUUUAACGUGAGAUAUUUUCUGUGGGUUCAGCUGCAGUACAAAUGGGCUCCAAAUUCUCUGGAUACAUACGGAUCUGUAUAUCAUUUUAUACACAUGGUCUAAAACUCCUGCAACUGUGUAUCCGUGCCAUGUUCUGUUGUGCACAGAGAUGCAAAUCAUAGGCACACCCUGAGUUGCAAAUUCCUGAAACACUCCACCUACCUACACUUGAUAUAAAUGGUCAUACAGUAGCUGAGACAGUAACCCAGCUUUACUAUUACCCUGUUUACUUUCCAUCUGAUAAAAUAAUAAUUGUAUCCAGAACACCAGAUAAGCCUUCAGUAUUGCUGAAUAGCAUGUUGCAAUUAAUGAACAACCUGCUGUCUAUUGGGGGAGCAAAUUUUAGGGAAGACAGAGGCCUAGGGGAAUAGAAAACAGGAACUCAGAAAACUUUUUAAAAUAAAUAAUUCCUGAAAGAACAAAGCAAACCCAUUCCUUCAUACCAAGCUUCUGAAAGCUAUUCCGGCAGCCCCUCCCCCAAAUAGGCACGAAAUUUAUGGAUCUUUUACAAGUAGGAAAAGAAAACGCAGAGACCUGGAAGACCCGUGCUUUUCCCGUUGGAAGAACAGAGGAUUAGCCCGGCCAAAGGAACAGAGAAGACCCCGUUGCCUGCAUUGGAAAGGUAGUAAGUUUCCUCUCGCCAAGGAAAGGCAGAAGAGUAAGACAAACUGCAUAGCGGCGAGACAAGUUUCCUCCACGCAGAUCUGUGCCUGACGGCCAUUCUCGAACUCACAGUCUCCGCAGGCGCCGCAAACAGUGUACGGAGGAGAACGCCCACGCAGGGGCCGUCGCGCCCGUGGCCUCUACUUGCUUUUGCCCCGCUGCUCCGUGCAGCGGUUGGUUUGGAGUUUACCCGAAGAAAGAAACAAACCCCGUUGACACCCCCUACCCCCACGCAUACACAUCUUCGGUCCCGGCAACUGCCCCUUCUGCACAACGCGGGCGGGCUUCCGGAGCAGACUCUUUGUCUGCCUGAAGCCCCGCAUUCGCGGGGAGUGCAGCUGAAGGGGACCCAGCUCCAAAAUGCCUCCGAAGUUAAAUAUUGACCAGAAGCUCUUUCAGAGGCUGCUGCUCUCCCUGGAAGGGUAAACCCCUUCCAAAGGCCCGUGCGAAGCCCCGCGGAGUGAAGAGUUAGCGCAGCGCUUACCUCGAAAGAUGUUUAAGACUGUGGCAGUGAUUGUCUCCAACCCCGGGCACUCGGGGAAUCGCCUUUUCCGGUGUCCGGGCGCUCUGCGGACAGAUAAACAGCAGAGGGUAAACCGUGGCUGCGAAGGAAGGGAGUUGGAGAACCGGAGUUGGAAGUGCUGCCGGCACGGGCGCCAGGCUGGCCCCCCGGGUGACGCGGACACGGAGGAGUCGCCAGGGCACUCGUCCAUGAGGCGCACUCCUUGCUUGUAAGGGUCUAGUCUAAGAAUGGCCUGAAGAUGGUGAUUUAUUUUUGUAAAAUAAAUACAUACUCCAUCUCCGCA